CAGGCUUAACACAUGCAAGUCGAGGGGCAGCAUGGUCUUAGCUUGCUAAGGCCGAUGGCGACCGGCGCACGGGUGAGUAACGCGUAUCCAACCUGCCUUACACUCUUGGACAGCCUUCUGAAAGGGAGAUUAAUACAAGAUGUUAUCAUGAGUAAGCAUUUUCGCAUGAUUAAAGGUUUACCGGUGUAAGAUGGGGAUGCGUUCCAUUAGAUAGUAGGCGGGGUAACGGCCCACCUAGUCUUCGAUGGAUAGGGGUUCUGAGAGGAAGGUCCCCCACAUUGGAACUGAGACACGGUCCAAACUCCUACGGGAGGCAGCAGUGAGGAAUAUUGGUCAAUGGACGAGAGUCUGAACCAGCCAAGUAGCGUGAAGGAUGAAGGUUCUAUGGAUUGUAAACUUCUUUUAUACGGGAAUAAACGAAUCCACGUGUGGAUUUUUGCAUGUACCGUAUGAAUAAGGAUCGGCUAACUCCGUGCCAGCAGCCGCGGUAAUACGGAGGAUCCGAGCGUUAUCCGGAUUUAUUGGGUUUAAAGGGAGCGUAGAUGGGUUGUUAAGUCAGUUGUGAAAGUUUGCGGCUCAACCGUAAAAUUGCAAUUGAUACUGGCAGUCUUGAGUACAGUUGAGGUAGGCGGAAUUCGUGGUGUAGCGGUGAAAUGCUUAGAUAUCACGAAGAACUCCGAUUGCGAAGGCAGCUUACUAACCUGUAACUGACAUUGAUGCUCGAAAGUGUGGGUAUCAAACAGGAUUAGAUACCCUGGUAGUCCACACGGUAAACGAUGAAUACUCGCUGUAGGCGAUAUACAGUCUGCGGCCAAGCGAAAGCAUUAAGUAUUCCACCUGGGGAGUACGCCGGCAACGGUGAAACUCAAAGGAAUUGACGGGGGCCCGCACAAGCGGAGGAACAUGUGGUUUAAUUCGAUGAUACGCGAGGAACCUUACCCGGGCUUAAAUUGCAACCGAAUAUGGCGGAAACGCUAUAGCUAGCAAUAGCGGUUGUGAAGGUGCUGCAUGGUUGUCGUCAGCUCGUGCCGUGAGGUGUCGGCUUAAGUGCCAUAACGAGCGCAACCCUUGCCGAUAGUUACUAACAGGUCAUGCUGAGGACUCUGUCGGGACUGCCAUCGUAAGAUGUGAGGAAGGUGGGGAUGACGUCAAAUCAGCACGGCCCUUACGUCCGGGGCUACACACGUGUUACAAUGGGGGGUACAGAGGGCUGCUACCACGCAAGUGGAUGCCAAUCCCAAAAACCUCUCUCAGUUCGGAUUGAAGUCUGCAACCCGACUUCAUGAAGCUGGAUUCGCUAGUAAUCGCGCAUCAGCCACGGCGCGGUGAAUACGUUCCCGGGCCUUGUACACACCGCCCGUCAAGCCAUGGGAGCCGGGGGUACCUGAAGUGCGUAACCGCAAGGAGCGCCCUAGGGUAAAACUGGUGACUGGGGCUAAGUC
rnacentral:rRNA from 1 species